rnacentral:rRNA from 1 species
AACGAACGCUGGCGGCAUGCCUAACACAUGCAAGUCGAACGAGACCUUCGGGGCUAGUUGCGCACGUGUGCGUAACGCGUGGGAACCUGCCCUUAGGUUCGGAAUAACUCCCCGAAAGGGGUGCUAAUACCGGAUAAUGUCUUCCGACCAAAGAUUUAUCGCCUUUGGAUGGGCCCGCGUUGGAUUAGCUAGUUGGUAGGGUAAAAGCCUACCAAGGCGACGAUCCAUAGCUGGUCUGAGAGGAUGAUAAGCCACACUGGGACUGAGACACGGCCCAGACUCCGACGGAAGGCAGCAGUGGAGAAUAUUGGACAAUGGACGAAAGCGUGAUCCAGCAGUGCCGCGUGAGUGAUGAAGGCCUUAGGGUUGUAAAGCUCUUUUACCCGGGAUGAUAAUGACAGUACCGGGAGAAUAAGCUCCGGCUAACUCCGUG